rnacentral:rRNA from 1 species
UACGUAGGGACCAAGCGUUGUUCGGAUUUACUGGGCGUAAAGGGCGCGUAGGCGGCUCGGUAAGUCACUUGUGAAAUCUCUGAGCUUAACUCAGAACGGCCAAGUGAUACUGCAGUGCUAGAGUGUGGAAGGGGCAAUCGGAAUUCUUGGUGUAGCGGUGAAAUGCGUAGAUAUCAAGAGGAACACCUGAGGUGAAGACGGGUUGCUGGGCCAACACUGACGCUGAGGCGCGAAAGCCAGGGGAGCAAACGGG